CUCCUUGGAGAAGCUCUGGGGAGAAAACAGGAGGAGGGGGAUGCACAGAGAGCAAGAUUGUGGCCCUCCUGAGGUUCCCCUCCAAAUCUACCUCCCAUCUUGAGCUCAGGUUUUGCUUUACUUUUUUUUCCCAUCGUGUCCAGAGGUUUGGGGACCCUCCGGGAGCACAGUGAGCCCCAGGCAGCCCUGUGUCAGUGAACUUUGGGGUGCACACAGCAGGAAGAGGGUACCCAGGGCAGGCGGACAAACAUCCUGCAGUACGUCCGCGUGGAGCCAAAGGACACAUAAAGACUCCAGCUCUGGUGUGGAAGGGAUGAAGUCCUU
rnacentral:lncRNA from 1 species